AUUGAACGCUGGCGGCAUGCCUAACACAUGCAAGUCGAACGAGUGGUGGACGGGUGAGUAAUGUCUGGGAAACUGCCUGAUGGAGGGGGAUAACUACUGGAAACGGUAGCUAAUACCGCAUACCAUCGGAUGUGCCCAGAUGGGAUUAGCUAGUAGGUGGGGUAACGGCUCACCUAGGCGACGAUCCCUAGCUGGUCUGAGAGGAUGACCAGCGACACGGGAACUGAGACACGGUCGAGACUCCUACGGGAGGCAGCAGUGGGGAAUAUUGCGCAAUGGGCGCAAGCCUGAUGCAGCCAUGCCGCGUGUAUGAAGGAGGCCUUCGGGUUGUAGUGUACUUUCAGCGGGGAGGCGUUACCCGCAGAAGAAGCACCGGCUAACUCCGUGCCAGCAGCCGCGGUAAUAC
rnacentral:rRNA from 1 species